GAUCCCUUGUGCAAACUGCUUGCAGGACUUUCCAAAGUCAGUCCCACCCACACGCAGCCCCCAGCGUCCCGGAUUCGUCCAACGCCCGCAGGUCCCGCGUGACCCAUGUUGCCGUGGUGAUCCCGCGCAGCUCUACAGUACUAGGCCGCUCGGAGCCCUGAGCCUUCGCAGGCGUGGGCUUUGGAAGAAUGAGAUCCUCCCUGACACCUUUAGGACCCACUGUGAGCAGGGACCGCAUCAUUGACACCUUCCCUAAGUGGUACAAACCUGAUGCCUCCCUGCAGCUUAAGGAGCACUUCAAUGAGCAGGUCAGCGCAGCUUGCCAGCGCAGGAACACCGGGACUGUUGGGCUCAAACUCUCCAAGGUGGUGGUUGUUGGUGAUCUCUACGUGGGGAAGACCAGCCUCAUCCACAGGUUUUGCAAGAAUGUUUUUGAUCGCGACUACAAGGCCACUAUUGGGGUAGACUUUGAAAUUGAGCGCUUUGAGAUAGCUGGGAUUCCAUUCAGCCUCCAGAUCUGGGACACAGCAGGGCAGGAGAAGUUCAAGUGCAUCGCAUCUGCCUAUUACCGGGGUGCCCAGGUGAUCAUCACCACCUUUGACCUCUCUGACGUGCAGACUCUAGAGCAUACCAGGCAGUGGCUGGAGGAUGCACUAAGGGAGAAUGAGGUGGGAUCCUGCUUUAUCUUCCUCGUGGGAACCAAAAAGGACCUUCUGUCAGGGGCAGCAUGUGAGCAGGCUGAAGCAGAGGCUGUGCACCUGGCCAAUGAGAUGCAGGCUGAAUACUGGUCAGUGUCAGCCAAGACAGUAUCUAGAGCUACAGCUGGGGUCACAGCUGUCCCAUGGGUCUCCAGGAGAGAAUGUGAAGGCAUUCUUCAGCCGUGUUGCUGCCCUGGCAUUUGAACAGUCAGUACUGCAGGAGCUGGAGAAGAGGAACAGCACUCAGCUCCAGGUCGGCGAUGGAGACCUCAUUCGUGCGUACAGGAAUUGAAGGAAGUUCACCUGAGACUCAGGAAAGCGAGAGACCCUUUAGCCUGGGCUGCUGUUAGCUGGACUCCCCCACAUCCCCUGCACACAAAUGGGUAUAGGCUGUCACUAUGGAGGAGAACAUGCAGUCUAUCUCCUUGAAGGUGUGGAGAGCCUGUGUACCCAGGACUCAGCUACUAUUCUUUAGCAGGAAGCCACUGGGUGCUGGUGCACCUUACAUUGCCUACUCAGAACUGGCUAGUGAGGACACUGCAGUGAUGACCCACCUGCAGGGUCAUCAUUGUCACCUGUGACCUUGAAAGACCUCAGGACUGCAAACUCAGGACAUUCCUGCAGUGGCCCACAUCCCUCACCAUGGCCCUGUUUCCCAGAAAUUUUAGAUGUGGCUUCAGACUCCUUCUCAUCAUGGUGUUCCAGGCAACCAGGACCUGUCAAAGUUGGCCUGUGAGGAAAAGCAUAGCUGCUUUCUCACCUGGGGAUUUUCUGUUAUCAACAGAACAUGCAGUUCUGGGCUUUAGAGUUUGAGGCCUCUUGUCCGCUGCCCCUCUGUCACAGACUCCCAGGCUCCCUGAGCAGCCCUGCCUCUCUCAGGGGCACUGUUGGUCCCCUUCUGAUCAGUGGACCCUCCCUGGCAUCUCUGAGAACCCCAUGGUCUUGCCCUCCAGGUCAGUGGGUGAGGAGAGCUGAACAAGUCCUUUGUGCCUCGGAUCCAUCUGGAGGAUGCAUUUUCUUGGCCAUGAGAGAUGAAAACUGCAUACCCGCCCCUCGGGUAAAUCACUGUACAUCCACUUACCUUGGCACUGCCCCACGACUCAUACCAGUGUGCACUGUUGCCUCUCCAACCUUCUCUCCCACUGGCUUGCAUAUUUCUCAGGACUUGUGUAAUGGCAUCCACAUCUUUGGAGACUGUUCAGUCUAGCAUGUUCCUGCCCACCAUUCCUUCUGCACAACCAGUGCAGACAAGAAUAUCCUCCCCACCCAGCUCUCUGCCCAGAGGGUCUGCCCUCCUCUCUGUCCCUUGUGUUGCUCCUGCAGGAGGUGUCAGGGCCUUGUCACUGCUACUCACUGCCCACUGCUGCUGUGGCCAUUGGUAUCUGCCCGCUCAUCCCCACCGUCUUGCCAUAGGUAGGUGGAUACAUCCAGCAUCCCUAUCUGCUUCUUGGAGAUGGUGAGCAUUCUGGGGGCAGGCUGUGCCAGUUAGUACCCUUCUAAUCUUUAGCACAUUGGUUGUGCCCCAUGAAUGUUCACUGAAUCAUAGCAAUUGCCAAGUAGCAGACAAGAACACUGGCAUGUUUUUUGGUGCAUUAUUCCUUUGCAUAUAUAUGUAUCUAUCAUGUCUUUAUAUAAAUUGCUUUUAAAGGAAUUGUGUGCUUAGUGUAAAACAAGAUACUAAAAAGCAUAUAAAAUAUAUAUUGGAAGUACUACCUUUGAUUGGUCACGUGCUCACUUCAGCAGCACAUACACUAAAAUCUGAUUGCUCACAUGCCAAACAUAUGGAUGGUUAAUAAUUGGUACAGCUCCUGUGUUUCCCUGUCGCAAACCGUAUUUGUUAGCUCAUUUCUCCAGAGUGACCUUGGGUUGUACACACUGCCUGAUAGACUGCUUUCCCCAUGGACUGCCUGGGGGAUGCACACAGCCCCCUCACUCCUUUAGCAUCUACUCUGCUUAAUGUAGACAGACUGUACUUAGCCUGUCCCAUACACAGGUCAUUUUGUUUUGACCAGCAAUUAGCUUUUACUGAUGGUGCUGCAAUGGCCAUCCUUUGUAAUUAUAGUGCACACUCAGGAUUCCUAAAGGAGGGCCUCCUGGCCUGGUCCACUGUGGAGGAGGAGACACACUAGGGGUACAUUAGGGAGGACCAAGUUUGUCGGGUACAAACAGAAUGAUGGUGACCAAUUAUGAAGGGGUAGGAUGGUGGUGGGGAAGGGGAAUAUGGUAUCUUGUUGUUACCAGCUCUUAAACUGGAAACCCACUGUCUCAUGUACACCCAAACUUCUGUAUAUGGUACUUUAUUAAACUCCUUAUGUUGCCUA